GUGGCGCUCCUUCAACAACAACAGCUAGUCAGACACCUCCGUAGCUUUCUAGCAAACAUUGCUACAACAUUCACGCUCUUUACACUGUUUUGGUGUAUAUUAGUCGCUGUGUAUUAAACAUACUUCUGUCGUAUGUACUUGUUGGCCCAUUUAAUUAUAUAUUUACGUUGUUUGUCAGCUAGCUGGUUUGCUAAGUUAGCUUAGAACUAGGCUAGUCGCUAAUGCUAGUUAGCUAACAUCUCCGACCAUGAGUUCACUAAGCUACGCUCCUCUUGCUAAGGAAGAGAAGAUCUGCUGGACGGAUAAAGAAGCUUUCGUGAAAGAGGAGGACGAAGAGGAGGCUGUUACAAUACAAAAACAAGUAGAGAGUGAGGUUGUUACCAUGAAAAAAGAAGAGAAAGACGUUUCAGUGAAAGAAGACGCGUUCAGAGUGAAAGAGGAGGAUGUUACAGUAAAAGACGAGGAGAAAGAGGAGGAUGCCGUUUUUGGAGUGAAAGAGGAGGGGAGAUGACUGUCACAUUGGAGGAAGAGGAGGAGGUUGGAGAUCUGUUUAACACCAGAGAGAGACGGGACUAUCGUGGAUCUUCUGGGGAGCCUCAACAACAUCAUGAUGCUGACAAGGCAGAGAAGAGUCUCUCCACAUCAGAACACAUCAAGAAACACCAGCAGAGACCCAGAGGAGAGAAACCUUUCUGCUGCUCUGAUUGUGGGAAACGUUUCUCAAGACCAAAUUCACUAAAAGUUCACCUGAGAAUUCACACUGGAGGGAAAUCUAACUGCUGCUCUGACUGUGGGAAAAGAUUCAACUCUUCAGUAAAACUUAAAAUACAUCAAAUAAUUCACACUGGAGAGAAAUCUUUUAGCUGUGAUCAAUGUUGGAAGAGUUUUUUUCAGCUAAAAACCCUGACAUCUCACCAGAGAACACACACUGGAGAGAAACCUUAUGGCUGUGAUCAAUGUGGGAAGAGUUUUACUGUGUCAAGCUCCUUGACAGUGCACCAGAGAACACACACAGGAGAGCAGCUUCACCAUUGUUCAUAUUGUGGGAAAAGCUUCUCAACAUCACACACUUUGAAGGUGCACCAGAGAAUGCACACAGGAGAGCGACCUUAUAGCUGUAAUCAAUGUAGGAAUAAUUUUUUUUACAUCUAGCAAUCUGACUAAACACCAGAGAACACACACAGGAGAGAAACCUCAUAGCUGUAAUCAAUGACAAGAGAUUCUCCGAUAAAAGAUAUCUGAUCAAACAUCAGAAAAUACAUACAUGAAGGAGUUGUUUCAUGAUAUCAAUGAAUUAAUGUCACAAUGUGGAAUGUUUUAACAUUAUAGUAGGAGUAUUUUAAUGAUUGUCAGAAUGUAGAACCCUAAACGUUUGCUCUGAAUUGAAAGAGUACUAUUUAUGUGAUUUAACAAAAUGUGACUAACACAAAAAGAGCUGUUACACUUGAAUCAAAAUGCAACACUUCAGAAUGUAGCGAUUUGUUUUAUACAAAUUGUCCUCUAACCAGGGAUGUACACAUUAUUCCCAGAUUCCGUGUGAUUUUUGAGCUAUUAGUUUUAACAGGACGUGCAACCUCAUCUCCCUCCUCUCGGCACAAUUGAUUUCAACAUGAUAUCGUUGAGUGAUGACAAAUAAGUGUUGUGUUCCUUUAUUUAGUGACCCCUACAUUUAAAUGCAUCACUCCAGAAUGUAGCUGACUGUCUUUUGCAGGUUGUCAUCUAACCAGUGAGGUAAAAUAUAUCUCCCAUUUCCAUGUGUUUUGUUUAGUUGUGUUAGUUUCAACAGCACGUACAACCUAAUUUCCCCCCUAAUCGAUAUCAGUGAUUUAUUGCUACUUGUCAAAACAACAGUGUUUUUGGUGCUUGUGCAGUUUAAAAUGAGCUUGUUUAAAAAAAUAUACAAGUAAUAUGAUUAUUGUGGCAGAUGUUUGUGUAUAUAGCAUGUUAUGUUUAGGUUUUCAAUUAAUCACAACUGUUGAUUUGGACACGUUAAAACACGUUGUUUUGACUUUUUCCCACCAAGCAAAAUGUCAUUGUAAACACGUUGCAAAGACGACUAGGCCCGACAAUUACAGUUGGAGUCGGAAGUUUAUGUACACAUUGAAACUCGUUUUUCAACAACUCCACAAAUUUCUUGUUAACAAACUAUAGUUUUGGCAAGUUGGUUAGAACAUCUACUUUAUGCAUGACAAGUAAUUUUUCCAACAAUUGUUUACAGCAGAUUAUUUCACUUAUAAUUCACUAUCACAAUUCCAGUGGGUCUGUCUCCUAGAGAUGAACGUACUUUGGUGCGAAAAGUGCAAAUCAAUCCCAGAACAACAGCAAAUUACCUUGUGAAGAUCCUGGAGGAAACAGGUACAAAAGUAUCUGUAUCCACAGUAAAAUUAGUCUUAUAUCAACAUAACCUGAAAGGCAACUCAGCAAGGAAGAAGCCAUUGCUCCAAAAACCGCCCUAAAAAAGCCAGACUAUUGUUUGUAACUGCACAUGGGGACAAAGAUGGUACUUUUUGGAGAAAUGUCCUCUGGUCUAAUGAAACAAAAAAAUAACUGUUUGGCCAUAAUGACCAUCGUUAUGUUUGGAGGAAAAAGGCGGAGGCUUGCAAGCCGAAGAACACUAUCCCAACCGUGAAGCACGGGGGUGGCAGCAUCAUGUUGUGGUGGUGCUUUGCUGCAGGAGGGACUGGUGAACUUCACAAAAUAGAUGUAAUCAUGAGGAAGAAAAUUAUGUGGAUAUAUUAAAGCAACAUCUCAAGUCAUCAGUCAAGAAGUUAAAUCAUGGUCGCAAAUGAUUCAUCCAAAUGGACAAUGACCACAAGCAUACUUCCAAAGUUGUGGCAAAAUGGCUUAAGGACAACAAAGUGAAGGUAUUUGAGGGGCCAUCCCAAAACCCUGACCUCACCCUAUAGAAAAUGUGUGGGCAGAAGUGAAAAUAGCAUUUGUGAGCAAGGAGGCCUACAAACCUGACUCAGUUACACCAGCUUUGUCAGGAGGAAUGGGCCAAAAUUCACCCAACUUAUUGUGGGAAGCUUGUGGAACGCCACCCGAAAUGUUUGACCCAAGUUAAACAAUUUAAAGGCAACGCUACCAAAUACUAAUUGAGUGUAUGUAAACUUCUGACCCACUAGGAAUUUGAUGAAAGAAAUAAAAGCUGAAAUAAA